rnacentral:rRNA from 1 species
ACUCCUACGGGAGGCAGCAGUAGGGAAUCUUCCACAAUGGGCGCAAGCCUGAUGGAGCAACACCGCGUGAGUGAAGAAGGGUUUCGGCUCGUAAAGCUCUGUUGUUAAAGAAGAACACGUAUGAGAGUAACUGUUCAUACGUUGACGGUAUUUAACCAGAAAGUCACGGCUAACUACGUGCCAGCAGCCGCGGUAAUACGUAGGUGGCAAGCGUUAUCCGGAUUUAUUGGGCGUAAAGAGAGUGCAGGCGGUUUUCUAAGUCUGAUGUGAAAGCCUUCGGCUUAACCGGAGAAGUGCAUCGGAAACUGGAUAACUUGAGUGCAGAAGAGGGUAGUGGAACUCCAUGUGUAGCGGUGGAAUGCGUAGAUAUAUGGAAGAACACCAGUGGCGAAGGCGGCUACCUGGUCUGCAACUGACGCUGAGACUCGAAAGCAUGGG